UGGGGAAUAUUGCACAAUUGGCGCAAGCCUGAUGCAGCCAUGCCGCGUGUGUGAAGAAGGCCUUCGGGUUGUAAAGCACUUUCAGCGAGGAGGAAGGGUAGUGUGUUAAUAGCACAUUGCAUUGACGUUACUCGCAGAAGAAGCACCGGCUAACUCCGUGCCAGCAGCCGCGGUAAUACGGAGGGUGCAAGCGUUAAUCGGAAUUACUGGGCGUAAAGCGCACGCAGGCGGUUUGUUAAGUCAGAUGUGAAAUCCCCGCGCUUAACGUGGGAACUGCAUUUGAAACUGGCAAGCUAGAGUCUUGUAGAGGGGGGUAGAAUUCCAGGUGUAGCGGUGAAAUGCGUAGAGAUCUGGAGGAAUACCGGUGGCGAAGGCGGCCCCCUGGACAAAGACUGACGCUCAGGUGCGAAAGCGUGGGGAGCAAACA
rnacentral:rRNA from 1 species